UAAUACGGAGGGUGCAAGCGUUAUCCGGAAUCAUUGGGUUUAAAGGGUCCGCAGGCGGUCAAUUAAGUCAGAGGUGAAAUCCCGUCGCUCAACGACGGAACUGCCUUUGAUACUGGUUGACUUGAGUUAUACGGAAGUAGAUAGAAUAAGUAGUGUAGCGGUGAAAUGCAUAGAUAUUACUUAGAAUACCGAUUGCGAAGGCAGUCUACUACGUAUAUACUGACGCUCAUGGACGAAAGCGUGGGGAGCGAACAGGAUUAGAUACCCUGGUAGUCCACGCCGUAAACGAUGGACACUAGUUGUUGGAAUUAUUCAGUGACUAAGCGAAAGUGAUAAGUGUCCCACCUGGGGAGUACGAUCGCAAGAUUG
rnacentral:rRNA from 1 species